rnacentral:rRNA from 1 species
UCGAUUCCGUAAGUAGCGGCGAGCGAACGCGGAUUAGCCCAAACCAAUAAAGUUUUCUUUAUUGGGGUUGCGGACAUAUCAUAACGAAGAGGUAUCGUAAUUGAAGAGGUUUGGAAAGACCCACCACAGAAGGUAAUAGUCCUGUAUGUUAAACGAGAAGACUUUAGAUAUGAUCCAGAGUACCACGGGACACGUGAAACCCUGUGGGAAGCAGGAGGGACCACCCUCCAAGGCUAAAUACUACCUAGU